UACGUAGGGUGCGAGCGUUAAUCGGAAUUAUUGGGCGUAAAGCGCGCGCAGGCGGUCCUUUAAGUCUGAUGUGAAAGCCCACGGCUCAACCGUGGAGGGUCAUUGGAAACUGGGGGACUUGAGUACAGGAGAGAAGAGUGGAAUUCCACGUGUAGCGGUGAAAUGCGUAGAGAUGUGGAGGAACACCAGUGGCGAAGGCGACGAUCUUUGGCCGUGAUAACUGACGCUUGGAGGCGCGAAAGCGUGGGGAGCAAACAGGA
rnacentral:rRNA from 1 species